rnacentral:rRNA from 1 species
GAUGAACGCUGGCGGCGUGCCUAAUACAUGCAAGUCGAGCGAAAAGACGAGGAGCUUGCUCCUCUCACGUUAGCGGAGGACGGGUGUAUCACACGUGGAUAACCUACCUAUAAGACGGGGAUAACUUCGGGAAACCGGAGCUAAUACCGGAUAAUCUAUUGAACCGCAUGGUUCAAUAGUAAAAGACGGCUUUGCUGUCUGUUCUCGAUGGUUCCCCGCCGCUUUAGCUAGUUGGUAAGGUAAAGGCCUUCCAAGGCGAGGAUGCGUAACCGACCGGAUGGGGGGAUCGGCGACACUGGAACGGAGCCACGGACCAUGCUCCUACGGGAGGGAGCAGUAGGGAAUCUGCGGCAGUGGGCGAAAGUCUGACGGAGCAACGCGGCGUGAGUUAUGAAGGUGUUCGGUUCGUAAAACUCUGUUAUUGGGUAAGAACAACUUUGGACGUAAAUGUGCACGUAGUGACGGUACUGAAUCAGAAAGCAACGGCUAACUACGUG